AUGGCGGCCGCGGAGCCACCCACUCUCCCGCCCCCUGGCGAGCACGUGACGCCGACGCCCGUGGUGGGCGGGGCGGAAGAGUGGAAGCAACAGACAGUGGAUCUGGAGUUGAAGAAGGCCUUCACAGAACUUCAAGCCAAAGUUAUUGACACUCAACAGAAGGUGAAGCUUGCAGACAUACAGAUUGAACAGCUAAACAGAACAAAAAAGCAUGCGCAUCUUACAGAUACAGAGAUUAUGACUUUGGUAGAUGAAACUAACAUGUAUGAAGGUGUAGGAAGAAUGUUUAUUCUUCAAUCCAAGGAGGUAAUUCACAAUCAGUUGUUAGAGAAACAGAAAAUAGCAGAAGAAAAAAUUAAAGAACUAGAGCAGAAAAAGUCCUACCUGGAGCGGAGCGUUAAGGAAGCUGAGGACAACAUCCGGGAGAUGCUGAUGGCACAAAAGGCACAAUAGGAGCUUCUAGGUGAAGCUCUUCUUUCCUCCUGACUUCUCUCAUCCUUGCAAAAGCUGAGGGGCCUGCGCAGGGUAACAGCCCCUCA